UAACCUUUACCGCUUUGAUAGGAAUGGAAAUGAAUUUGAAGAACAGGAUCGAGGGGCAGAGAGACCGUGUUACGUGGGUGUGCGAAUGCGUCGAUCGGAUCGUUCGAUCUUUUGACCCGUACGGUUCGUGAACGUACGCAGCAUCGUUUUUCCGGUCUCGACGAACGACGUUCACGAUUGUCAGGCGAUCUGUGGGGAACUGCCACGCACAAUUCCGCGAUCGACCAGAUUGGAUUCUAGCUUUCUCGUUUACCGAUCGUAACAUCCUUGUUAACACUUUACAGAUAGCGAAAAUUAUACCGAAGCUUUCCAAUUGCUUCGCAAAUGAACCGCAAAGGUUCAAUCGACAGAAUCUUUCCGGGAACGAGAGAAAACGGCGGAGGAAACGCGAUGUUAAGAAAGCGUCGGAGGAUACGGAACAGAGAACAAGUUGGCUAGUAAAUUUUGACAGAAAAAUUGUACAGGUUGUCGUGUUCGCAGUAUUCGGUCAAACUUCGGGGAACGAAGGCUGAGAUCUAUGGUCGAUCGCGCGACUCGAGGGCAGAGGUCUUCUCUUUCUUUCCGCUUUGUUGGAUCUUGUUCGAACGAAAACGCGAAGAUCGCGAUUGCGAACCGAAAUAAUAUCGGUUCAUGUCGGACAGAUUCGCCUCGAGACUGAUCUGAUACGCGCUAACGAGCUACGGUUAGGGACGGGGGAGAAAGGAAGGGAACGAAAGGAAACGAGAAUGAAACAGAACGGGGAAGAAGAAAGACCGUGACAAUAUAUACAUAUAUACAUAUAUAUACAUAUAUAUAUCGAUAUAUUUGCGAGAUAUUUUGCGAGCAGGGCUUUUUUAUCUAUUUUAUAGUAAUCUCAGCUUAAGCGGAUUGAGAGGGAGGGAGAGAGUGAGAUUGUUUUGCUAAACGAGAGAAACAAAAGAAAACGCAAACACGGCGAUUCAAACGAGAGAAUAAAGAAUGGAGAGAAAAAUAGGAAUGCAGAGACAAUGAGGGGAGGAAGAAUAUAAUUGCAACAAAAUGGAUAGGAGAGGAGGGGGGAGAGAUAUAAUGCGCAGCUGACAAACGGUUUGUAAAUUGCGUACAUAAAAGAUAGAUAAAUAACCGUUGACUAAAAGAAAAGUGAUGACGGUUUUACUAUGUCGUAUACUCUACGUUUUGUUUGUUUUGCGCCUUUGGCUUGCAUUACAAUUAAUCUGAUUAUUAUAAUAAUAAUGAUAAUUAUUAUUAUUAUGAUUGACUAUUGAUUAUUAUUAUUAGUUGAUAUCAUCAUCACCGUCAUUAUCAUUAUAUUCUUAUCAUU
rnacentral:misc_RNA from 1 species